CCCUUAGAUGUUCUGGGCUGCACGCGCGCUACACUGAUGCGCUCAACGAGUUUUAACCUUGCCUGGAAAGGUUGGGUAAUCUUUUUAAAACGCAUCGUGAUGGGGAUAGAUUAUUGCAAUUAUUAAUCUUCAACGAGGAAUUCCUAGUAAGCGCGAGUCAUCAGCUCGUGCUGAUUACGUCCCUGCCCUUUGUACACACCGCCCGUCGCUCCUUCCGAUUGAAUGGUCCGGUGAAGCGUUCGGACCGUGGCCUUUGGACGGUUCGCCGUCUGUUGGCUGCGGGGAGUUCGUUAAACCUUAUCAUUUAGAGGAAGGAGAANUCGUANCA
rnacentral:rRNA from 1 species